rnacentral:rRNA from 1 species
CCGAUAGAAAACAAGUACCUGAGGGAAAGAUGAAAAGGACUUUGAAAAGAGAGUUAGAAGUGCCUGAAAUUGCUGAAAAUGAAGAGAAUGGAAUUAGCACAGCUUUGCGAGAUUGUCACGUGGUAAAGUUCACCAGCGACACGUGUUGCUUCUUGCCUCGCGCGUCCACUCCAGCUUGUGGCCGAGGAAACCGCACGGGACAUGGUGUUCAGCUUGCGGGCGGGCAAGUGUCCUCUGCAGAACUCGCUCAUGAACUGAAGUUUGCCUGUCCAGUUGCAGCGUCUUGGUCUCUAUGAGCCUGGACGUUCUUCCUGGCAUUGGGACGAUGAACUGGUUCCUUUCAACCCGUCUUGAAACACGGACCAAGGAGUUUAACGUAUGUGCGAGUCCACGAGUGGUGAACGCUUGCUGGCAGAGUGAAAGCAACUGCUGGGAUGUGUGCGUCAGCAGCCAACCUAUUGAUUGAGACAGGCUUGAGAUCGAGCACAUCUGUUAGGACCCGAAAGAUGGUGAACUAUGCUUGAGAAGGGCAAAGUCAGGGGAAACUCUGAUGGAGGCUUGUAACGAUACUGACGUGCAAAUCGUUCGUCGCACUUGGGUAUAGGGGCGAAAGACUAAUCGAACCAUCUAGUAGCUGGUUCCUUCCGAAGUUUCCCUCAGGAUAGCUGGAGUUAAACAGUUUCAUCAGAUAAAGCGAAUGAUUAGAGGAAUUGGGGGCGUGUUGUCCUUGACCUAUUCUCAAACUUUAAAUGGGUAAGAUCCAGUGGUUGCUUAGGUGAACUUCUGGGACAAAUGAUUGCUCUAGGUGGGCCGUCUUUGGUAAGCAGAGCUGGCGAUGAGGGAUGAACCUAACGUUGGGGGAUAGUGCUGAACUGCUCGCUCAUCAGA